rnacentral:rRNA from 1 species
UACGGGGGGAGGCAAGCGUUGUUCGGAUUUACUGGGCGUAAAGGGCGCGUAGGCGGCCAGCACAAGUCAGUUGUGAAAUCUCCGGGCUUAACUCGGAAAGGUCAACUGAUACUGUGCGGCUAGAGUGCAGAAGGGGCAACUGGAAUUCUCGGUGUAGCGGUGAAAUGCGUAGAUAUCGAGAGGAACACCUGCGGCGAAGGCGGGUUGCUGGGCUGACACUGACGCUGAUGCGCGAAAGCCAGGGGAGCGAAGCGGG